UACGGAGGGCGCAAGCGUUGUUCGGAAUCAUUGGGCGUAAAGCGCGUGUAGGCGGCUUGGCAAGUCGGGUGUGAAAUCCCGGGGCUCAACCCCGGAACUGCAUUCGAUACUGCCUCGCUAGAGUCCCGGAGAGGAGGGCGGAAUUCCCGGUGUAGUGGCGAAAUGCGUAGAUAUCGGGAGGAACACCAGUGGCGAAGGCGACUACCUGGCCCACUCUUGACGCUGAGGCGCGAAAGCUAGGGGAGCGAACGGG
rnacentral:rRNA from 1 species